rnacentral:sRNA from 1 species
GCAUUUCAGGGAUUUUGUGUGCCCAGGCGGUGACUUCCGGACUUCUCCGGCGCAGAACACCGCCCGUGGCGAAGUCCGGCAGGGGGAGUUUGGGAACCCGUCCCCGGGGGCUCAGCGGCCGGAGGAGGGCGCGGAAGUGUUUCCUGGGUGAGCGCGGCAGCCAGACCCGUUUCCGGAAGGCUGAUUGCAUCAGGUUGGAGCUGCUGUGGGUGAGCUGCUGUGGUCUGUAGCCAAGCAUGCUGUGGUCGGAUCUGCCCAGCCGUGGAACAGAAACAUUUGCUGGAUGGAAAAUCCAUAAAAGAAAGCUCCUUUGAAAAGCUGAGGCUGACAAUAAUUUAAGCAAAAUCAGAUCAAUCUCUUUGGGCUGCCUGAUCUCCUUGGGUGCUUGCUAUUAAUUAACAGACUUUGUGGGGAAAAAAAGGAGCUUGCCUUCUGAGCUUUGUACCAAAGACCUGGGAAAACUAAC